GACAGAGGGGGCAAGCGUUGUCCGGACUCACUGGGCGUAAAGGGUGCGUAGGCGGUCUCGUGCGUCGGCGUGAAAUCAUACGGCUUAACCGUGUGGCGCGUGCCGAUCGACGGGACUUGAGGCUCUGAGAGGGUGGCGGAACUCCUGGUGUAGUGGUGAAAUGCGUAGAGAUCAGGAAGACACCCGUGGCGCAAGCGGCCAC
rnacentral:rRNA from 1 species